AGAGUUUGAUCCUGGCUCAGGAUGAACGCUAGCUACAGGCUUAACACAUGCAAGUCGAGGGGCAGCAUGGUCUUAGCUUGCUAAGGCCGAUGGCGACCGGCGCACGGGUGAGUAACACGUAUCCAACCUGCCGUCUACUCUUGGACAGCCUUCUGAAAGGAAGAUUAAUACAAGAUGGCAUCAUGAGUCCGCAUGUUCACAUGAUUAAAGGUAUUCCGGUAGACGAUGGGGAUGCGUUCCAUUAGAUAGUAGGCGGGGUAACGGCCCACCUAGUCUUCGAUGGAUAGGGGUUCUGAGAGGAAGGUCCCCCACAUUGGAACUGAGACACGGUCCAAACUCCUACGGGAGGCAGCAGUGAGGAAUAUUGGUCAAUGGGCGAGAGCCUGAACCAGCCAAGUAGCGUGAAGGAUGACUGCCCUAUGGGUUGUAAACUUCUUUUAUAAAGGAAUAAAGUCGGGUAUGCAUACCCGUUUGCAUGUACUUUAUGAAUAAGGAUCGGCUAACUCCGUGCCAGCAGCCGCGGUAAUACGGAGGAUCCGAGCGUUAUCCGGAUUUAUUGGGUUUAAAGGGAGCGUAGAUGGAUGUUUAAGUCAGUUGUGAAAGUUUGCGGCUCAACCGUAAAAUUGCAGUUGAUACUGGAUAUCUUGAGUGCAGUUGAGGCAGGCGGAAUUCGUGGCGUAGCGGUGAAAUGCUUAGAUAUCACGAAGAACUCCGAUUGCGAAGGCAGCCUGCUAAGCUGCAACUGACAUUGAGGCUCGAAAGUGUGGGUAUCAAACAGGAUUAGAUACCCUGGUAGUCCACACAGUAAACGAUGAAUACUCGCUGUUUGCGAUAUACAGUAAGCGGCCAAGCGAAAGCAUUAAGUAUUCCACCUGGGGAGUACGCCGGCAACGGUGAAACUCAAAUGAAUUGAC
rnacentral:rRNA from 1 species